rnacentral:rRNA from 1 species
AUAGUACCGGUGAGGAAAGUUGCAAAGUACUUUGAAGAGAGAGUUCAAGAGGACGUGAAACCGGUAGGGUGGAAGCAGAUAAAGUUGACGAACGUGUGUCGUAUUCAGAACUACAAUUUGUGGUUUGUUUUUACGAUCGAUGUGGGCUGGCGUCUUUGGUUAACUUAGUGUCUGGCGGCAAUGGUGACCCUGCGGAGGGAUAAUCGGUUGUCGUGCGAUGCUUGGUAUGGCUAGAGGUUCGCUGGUCUUAUAGUCAUCGCUUUAUCUGACCCGUCUUGAAACACGGACCAAGGAGUGUAGCGCUUACGCGAGUCUUAGAGUGUGUCAAAACUUUGAGGCGUAACGAAAGUAAAUGUGGAUUUAUUCACUGACUUGGGAUGCGUUGUCUUUUUGGAUAGCGUUGGACCAUGGUUUUAUCGUAAUCGCUUGCGAUGCGGUGAAAAUAGAGCGUAAGCGGUGCGACCCGAAAGAUGGUGAACUAUGCCUGAGCAGGAUGAAGCCGGAGGAAACUCUGGUGGAAGUCCGAAGCGGUUCUGACGUGCAAAUCGAUCGUCUGACUGGGUAUAGGCGAAAGACAUNANCNNC